rnacentral:tRNA from 1 species
GGAUGUAGCUUAGUUGGUAGAGUGCUUGCUUAGCAUGCGGGAAACCCUGGGUUAGAGUCCCAGCACCA